AGCAUAUCAAUAAGCGGAGGAAAAGAAACCAACAGGGAUUGCCUCAGUAACGGCGAGUGAAGCGGCAACAGCUCAAAUUUGAAAUCUGGCGCCUCCGGCGUCCGAGUUGUAAUUUGUAGAGGAUGCUAUUGGGUUGCCACCGGUCUAAGUUCCUUGGAACAGGACGUCACAGAGGGUGAGAAUCCCGUAUGUGACCGGCCAGGCGCUCUCUGUAUAGCUCCUUCGACGAGUCGGGUUGUUUGGGAAUGCAGCCCUAAAUGGGAGGUAAAUUUCUUCUAAAGCUAAAUACCGGCCAGAGACCGAUAGCGCACAAGUAGAGUGAUCGAAAGAUGAAAAGCACUUUGGAAAGAGAGUUAAAAAGCACGUGAAAUUGUUGAAAGGGAAGCGCUUGCCAUCAGUCUCGACGGCGGCUGUUCGGCCUCUCUUCUGAGUGGUUUAUUCAGUCGCCGCCGGGCCAGCAUCAGUUUCGGCGGCCGGAUAAAGGCGUGGGGAAUGUAGCUCCCUCGGGAGUGUUAUAGCCCCGCGUGCAAUACGGCCCGCCGGGACUGAGGUCCGCGCUCCGGCUAGGAUGCUGGCGAAAUGGUUGUAAGCGGCCCGUCUUGAAACACGGACCAAGGAGUCUAACAUCUACGCGAGUGUUUGGGUGUCAAACCCGUGCGCGCAAUGAAAGUGAACGGAGGUGGGAACCGCAAGGUGCACCAUCGACCGAUCCUGAUGUCUUCGGAUGGAUUUGAGUAAGAGCGUAGCUGUUGGGACCCGAAAGAUGGUGAACUAUGCCUGAAUAGGGUGAAGCCAGAGGAAACUCUGGUGGAGGCUCGCAGCGGUUCUGACGUGCAAAUCGAUCGUCAAAUUUGGGUAUAGGGGCGAAAGACUAAUCGAACCAUCUAGUAGCUGGUUCCUGCG
rnacentral:rRNA from 1 species